GAUGAACGCUGGCGGCGUGCCUAAUACAUGCAAGUCGAGCGAACGGAUAAGGAGCUUGCUCCUUUGAAGUUAGCGGCGGACGGGUGAGUAACACGUGGGUAACCUACCUAUAAGACUGGAAUAACUUCGGGAAACCGGAGCUAAUGCCGGAUAACAUAUAGAACCGCAUGGUUCUAUAGUGAAAGAUGGUUUUGCUAUCACUUAUAGAUGGACCCGCGCCGUAUUAGCUAGUUGGUAAGGUAAUGGCUUACCAAGGCGACGAUACGUAGCCGACCUGGGAGGGUGAUCGGCCACACUGGAACUGAGACACGGUCCAGACUCCUACGGGAGGCAGCAGUAGGGAAUCUUCCGCAAUGGGCGAAAGCCUGACGGAGCAACGCCGCGUGAGUGAUGAAGGUUUUCGGAUCGUAAAACUCUGUUAUUAGGGAAGAACAAAUGCGUAAGUAACUGUGCGCAUCUUGACGGUACCUGAUCAGAAAGCCACGGCUAACUACGUGCCAGCCGCCGCCGUAA
rnacentral:rRNA from 1 species